rnacentral:rRNA from 1 species
UACGUAGGGGGCAAGCGUUAUCCGGAUUUACUGGGUGUAAAGGGAGCGUAGACGGCCUUGCAAGUCUGGUGUGAAAGCCCGGGGCUCAACCCCGGGACUGCAUUGGAAACUGCAUGGCUGGAGUGCAGGAGAGGUAAGCGGAAUUCCUAGUGUAGCGGUGAAAUGCGUAGAUAUUAGGAGGAACACCAGUGGCGAAGGCGGCUUACUGGACUGUAACUGACGUCGAGGCUCGAAAGCGUGGGGAGCAAACAGG